GCGGCCGAAGCGCUCCCCUACCUGGGCUUCGCGACUCUGUGGGUCAUCUCCGCGGCCGCGGCUGCCAGGGUCGUGGGAAGCCGAGCCUGGGACGAGGGCUCCGCCUCCGCCGUGUUUCUCCAGGCACUCGCGGACGGGGCUCUCAAGGCCAGCUUCCUUGUCCUGCAAGCGCUUGGCACCGUGAUGCUGUGCGGCCAGUUCCUGCUCUACGUGGUUGCAGCUGUAUCUGGAUCCGGUUCAGAGUUCCACAAGAGAGCCCAUGGAGCUUUCAACCAGGAGUUGAUUAGGGGGGGUUCCUCCCCGCACCGCAGUCCUUGGAACAUUCGCUUCUACGCCCUUCAUCCUGCUAAUUUUAGCUGGUUCUCUGGUGCAAUGCAUGAUGUCGAAAAAGAUUGGUUUUGUGAUUGUGGAUGUGGGGAUAUUUGGCUCUAGUGCCAUACCUUGCUUUGUUGUCAUUCCAGCUGUAGUACUGAGUAACUGGAGGGAGGACCAGAUGUCAAAGAAAAACAUGACUCACGUUGCAGACUGUUGAGACAUAACACUGAAUGGAAGGUGUGAAGAUGGGCAAGGCAAAUUACAAGAGCUGACUCUUUGCUGAAGUUUAUGGCCGCUGAUGAGUUUUGGGUUAUAGUUACCUGUAGUCAUGACUGUAGAUUGGUCCACUAGUGUUUACUUGCUGCUGGGAGGU